UACGUAGGGGGCAAGCGUUGUCCGGAUUUAUUGGGCGUAAAGAGCUCGUAGGCGGCUUGUCGCGUCGACUGUGAAAUCCCGCGGCUCAACCGCGGGUCUGCAGUCGAUACGGGCAGGCUAGAGUUCGGUAGGGGAGACUGGAAUUCCUGGUGUAGCGGUGAAAUGCGCAGAUAUCAGGAGGAACACCGAUGGCGAAGGCGGCAUCCUGGACCGGCAUUGACGCUGAGGAGCGAAAGCCAGGGGAGCAAACGGG
rnacentral:rRNA from 1 species